CCCCGAGGAAGAGAAAUCAACCGAGAUUCCGAAAGUAGCGGCGAGCGAAAUUGGAUUAGCCCUUAAGCUUUUAAUGAUGCAGGUGAAGAGUCUGGAAAGUCUCGCAACAAAGGGUGAUAGCCCCGUAACCGACACAUCAUAAUCAGUGAAAACGAGUAGGGCGGGACACGUGAUAUCCUGUCUGAAUAUGGGGGGACCAUCCUCCAAGGCUAAAUACUACUGACUGACCGAUAGUGAACCAGUACCGUGAGGGAAAGGCGAAAAGAACCCCUGUGAGGGGAGUGAAAUAGAACCUGAAACCGUGUACGUACAAGCAGUAGGAGCACCUUCGUGGUGUGACUGCGUACCUUUUGUAUAAUGGGUCAGCGACUUAAUUUUAGUAGCAAGGUUAACCGUUUAGGGGAGCCGUAGGGAAACCGAGUCUUAACUGGGCGUACAGUUGCUAGGAUUAGACCCGAAACCAGGUGAUCUAGCCAUGGGCAGGUUGAAGGUUGAGUAACAUCAACUGGAGGACCGAACCGACUAAUGUUGAAAAAUUAGCGGAUGACUUGUGGCUAGGGGUGAAAGGCCAAUCAAACCUGGAGAUAGCUGGUUCUCCCCGAAAGCUAUUUAGGUAGCGCCUCGGACGAAUACUACUGGGGGUAGAGCACUGUUAAGGCUAGGGGGUCAUCCCGACUUACCAACCCUUUGCAAACUCCGAAUACCAGUAAGUACUAUCCGGGAGACACACGGCGGGUGCUAACGUCCGUCGUGGAGAGGGAAACAACCCAGACCGCCAGCUAAGGUCCCAAAGUAUAGCUAAGUGGGAAACGAUGUGGGAAGGCUCAGACAGCCAGGAUGUUGGCUUAGAAGCAGCCAUCAUUUAAAGAAAGCGUAAUAGCUCACUGGUCGAGUCGGCCUGCGCGGAAGAUGUAACGGGGCUAAGCUAUACACCGAAGCUGCGGCUACGUACCUUAGGGUAUGUGGGGUAGGGGAGCGUUCUGUAAGCCGUUGAAGGUG
rnacentral:rRNA from 1 species